GACAUUUUAGAAAUUAUUUACUAACGAUAUCAAGGAAUACAAAAGCUAUUUGUGCUGGGGGUUGAUAGGACUGACCUGACUCUACCUGGUUGCUGGGUACUUCUCAGCACCCCUCCCACCAGAGGGAACACAAUUGCUCCUCCAUCUGUGGUCACUCAGCCCCUGCCUCCAGGGCCAUGCUUCUCAGCUGUGACGGCACAUUAGAUCCGCUUGGGAGCUCUUAAAUACUGUGAAGCUCUGCAUGUACCACAGGCCAAUGACGUCAGAGUCUCCAGGUGGGACUCAGGCUUUGGUAUUUUUUACAGCCUUCCGGUGAUUCCACUCUGCAGCCACAGUUGAGAACACGGUUCUAGGAUCUACGCAGACCUUGGGAGGAAGGGCUGAAAGGAAGCCCUGCCCAGCAGCUUGCCCCUGGGUCAGCGACAGGACAGAGGAUCUCCAUGGGGAGGGCUUGGCUCAGUCCAAGCCUGUCUGAGGACCCAUCCCUGCCUUCCUGACAGCAGACUGUGGACGGUGCCUGGCCAGCUGCCUGAGUUUGUGUGCGGAUCCUCAGGUGAGAGAAGUGGGUUUUUUCCGAGUAGGAUCUUCAUGCUACUGUUGGCUUUAUGGGAUGAUUAUGCAGUCAAAGAGAUCUAAAGUGAUAUUCUUGGGUGCUUUUCGUCCAGUGGCACUUGAUGCAAAGCCUUCAGGAAAUGAUUUUGCCUCUUCAUCCUUCAAACUCAAGCUUUACUGCAAAAGGGCCAGUUAUAUGUCUGUUUCUCUUGACCACAGGCUUCUGCGGACUGAUGAUAUUUUUUGUUGUGUUCCACUAAAUAUUCUUAAAUGUAUUAGAAUUACUGAAACACACACACACAAAGUCACAUGGCUGGCUGUCCUCUAGUUCAGCAGGGGCCCGGGCAGAAAGCUGCCACACCUCUGUUUUUGUCUGCAGACCCACACUCCGUCUGCUACACCAUUUCUAACUGCAGACACCCUCUGGGUUCCUGGAGUCUGAGUUUGUUUUAAUAACUUGCCUUAUACUCUAAUUCCUACUAGUUUGGGGCUUCACCUGUCUUGACAUGUCUCCCUGAACCAGAGUUCUACUUGCAACUUAUCAAAUUGCCUUGAGCCUGCAAUUCACAGUGUCUCCUGAAGCCAUCGCCCCUUCCUACAUCACCCUCUGCUGUGCUUUGCACACUGACCACACCCUUCUGUCAGUGGCCAUUAGCUGCCAGGCUGGAUUGGUUUCCUCCCUGGCCUGGCCACUGUGCUAGCUUGCUCUCAGCUCUGUCCCAUGCUGUCAGUUCCUCUCUCCGUCACCCCAUGGCACUUAGUGGAGUCCUCUCGUGACCAAGCAGGAGCACUCACUAAAGAGUUACAAAAGAAAUCUGCAAAAGGCAGUGGAAUGGAGGUGGCCAGUCACUGGGGCCUGCUGGGCUCUUGACUGAUGAACAAUGACACUGUCUUCUCCAGGAGCUGAUCUACGUCCAUGGCUGACAACCCAGAAAAAGCUGGGACCCAAAUUUGUACAGAGUGUCCACAUUGUGCCAGACCCGCUAGCAGCUGGGGAUUCAGUAGUGAAGAAUUUGAUGAGUUCGCCCUCUUGGAAUGCUGUUCUGCUGGGAGAGAUGGGCGUUAAUCAGAGACAUAUUCCAAAAUAGUCACAGAUGAAACUGUACGCUGUGUAGGAUUUGCCUGAGAAUAAUCCAGAGGAGGUACUGGGGGUAGAGCCGGCGGUGAAAUACGAUGGCAAGUUGCGAGUCGGUAACUGUAGAAGCUGAUCGACAGAUAUUCCGGACGUCAUGAUACUCUUCUCUCUGCUUUUUCACGUCUUUGUAAUGUUCCAUAAUUUAAAAAAUCAUCUUUG